rnacentral:rRNA from 1 species
GACAGAGGUUGCAAGCGUUGUUCGGAUUUACUGGGCGUAAAGGGCGCGUAGGCGGUCAGCACAAGUCAGUUGUGAAAUCUCCGGGCUUAACUCGGAAAGGUCAACUGAUACUGUGCGACUAGAGUGCGGAAGGGGCAACUGGAAUUCUUGGUGUAGCGGUGAAAUGCGUAGAUAUCAAGAGGAACACCUGCGGCGAAGGCGGGUUGCUGGGCCGACACUGACGCUGAGGCGCGAAAGCCAGGGGAGCGAACGGG